AAGCAAAGUAUACUGGGAAAUAUUGUCGUGGGCAUAUUUUUUUUUUUGUUCUGUACUAAACGGUAAAUUCCGUUCAAGUUUACAGUAACAGGCAGUUAAAGAGUUUUACUUAUUUGGUAUAGUGAUGCAUGAAAAGAAAAAGAAGAAACGUAAAUGGAGGCAGCAAAAGCGAUUGUGGUUCAGCUCUGCUUAAGACGGAAGCCAUUUUGCACAGUCUGAUGUUUCAGCUUCGUCUCAGUCGUGGACAUCCCACCAUCCAAUUCAAAGAGUAGCUGACAACAUCAUCUCCACCUCUUUGUAGCCUGAUUUUCCCGCGGAUAGCAGCCGGAAGUUAACACCCUCCUGCUUCGUAUCGUGGGCGCUUGGCUUCCAUGAGGACAGCUUCUGAGACGACAACGUGUUGGUGAUUGCAGCUUCGUUGCAGCUUUGCCAGGAAGGAUGCAGCGUUAGGUCGGAGGAACACCAGAUAUCAAAGGGCUUUGUUUAGCAUUGUGCACUUUGAGUUCACCCUGUCAGCUUGCUUGUUUCAAUGCCAGGUUUACACCCGGCACCAGUUUGUGCUAUUCUGAUUUGUUAUGCCUCGGAUUUCAAACAGCAACAAGUCUGGUAUCUUAUUUUAGUUCACGUGCUGCAAGAUCCAUGCUAAGUCAUGUUCUACUUAAUCAAAGUUUGCUGAGAAAACCAUAGUGAAGAUCAUUUACACAACAUGCUAAAUCACCUGUCUCCUAUCAUGAUGACAAGGAGUAGCAAUAUGCUUUUCAGUUUCUCCACUGGCAUCUAUCAAAUUCUGUGCCUCUGUUAUAUUUUUUUUGUUUCUUUUAAUAACAAUAAAAAAUAAAAUAAGCAUGCUGCAAGGCAAAGAGUGCAA